CUUAAAACACAUGGGUGGCUUGCAAAAUCUCCCGUUAUAGAAUUGAAUUCGGUCCAACCCCAACACUGCCCCUAUGUCUGCGUGUGCGCCAUUCUUCGACUCGGAGACUGACUCACUGAACUCUCCUCAAGAAAUCCACCCUCAGACCUCUCUCGCUCGCUUGUUUUCGCAAUUCUAUAGCUGCAACCUGCUCAAUCAGUGAUUCGUCAUUAUCAAGGGUAAUGUCUCCCCAAUCAUCAACUUUUCUCUUUUUUUGGCCCCCUGAUUUUACUGAGACAGAAAUCCAUGGAGCGAACCCCAUCUAGUUCGGAUUUUUUUUUUGAGUUUCUCUAACUGGAUCGUUUUGCCCUUGUCCAUUUCUUACAGUUGAAUCUUUCAAGUCUGAACUUGGAGCUUCUUUCUUCCAUGGGAUGAUCAUUUUUAUUGAAAAGGGUACGAUGAGGUUUCAAUUAUAUUAAAGGAUAUGUAAUGUAUAUAUGCAUGUAGGUGAUGACAUAUUUAUGUUUCUAUUAGCACAUAAUGAUGUUUUGGCUACUUCCUCAUAAGUUGGCAGCUCUAUCUACCAGUAGUUUCAUUCAUCCACAUUGGUAAGCAGGAGUUGGAAUUAGCAUUUUAACAGAUUUCUAAACUUGUGUUUGCAUAAUUUUGCUUCAAAUAGUGGUAAUGCUUCUGACGCUGGUGCAAUUGGUUUGCCAUUAUUUAAGGACACGCUAUUGAAAAAUGCUUUUUAUAUUUGGAAAAGGAAUCUUUACUCAACCUGUUUGUUUCUAGAUACAUUAUUUUCCUGGAAUAUUAUGAUUAGGUAAAUUGCUGUUUACUACUGAAAUGUAAUAUCCAUAAUCCGAAAUAUGCGGUGGAUAUUAAAAAAGAGAGGAAAUUUUAUGUUACCUAAUGGGAAGUUGAAAUGCACUGGUAGAGUAAUGCUAUCAAAAUUGUGCUGGUGGUUAUGCGGAGGUGUGCCGGUUAUCGACAUAACUGCCAUUGGCUUUUGCAUGAUAUAUUCUAUUUUGAACUCUCUUUAAGUUAGAAGCAUACUGGUUGGCUUUUGCCUUUUUGUUGCAUCUUCUUCAAAACUCCUUGAAGCCAUAUGCAUUUUGUUCACUGCCAUUGAUUAUAUUUACAUGCUUGCAAAGAAAAGACUGCAAUUUUUUAAUUAUUGGUUCUUAUUACUGUCCAGCUCGUCAAUUGGAGAUGGAGCUGGGAAAAAUUGAGUUCCUUGGAUUAAAUGCUUCAUUUAAGUAUUGAAGAGAAUCAAUCACAGCAUAAAAAAUUACUUCCUUUGUUGAGGCCAAAGUUGUGAUAUAAUUGGGAAUUUAGCUUGUAUCAUGAUGAUUGACUUGCUUCUUUCAUUUUUACAUCAUUAUGGUUGUUAUAUUUAAGGUCUUAUUUCCAUUUAACAUUUAAUGGCAGCAGACUGGUGUAUUACUGGCUAAAUAAAGAAGUCAAUCAUUUUGGUUAGAGUAUUAAACAUAAGUAGUUAUAGAAGGCAUUUCCUUUAAAUGUUGUUAUGCCAUUUCAAAGAGCGGUUAAAAGUAAUUCUUUUAGAUGUGUAUUCCACUUUAGUUAUAUGGUUACUUCAUCUAUGCUUGAUUUGAAGUUAACGAUUCGUAUAUACAAAUAAGGUAGUUCCUUUAAAUUAUUCUUGUGGCAUUUCAAUUGGGGGUUAAAAUUAUUGUUUUCAAUGUUGGUAUGCAACUCUAGAUAUCAGUAUAAAGUGCAUUACUUAUUUGCUGUUUAAAUUUAAGUUAUAAUAGAGUAUACAUUCAACAAAAAUAAGAAAAGAUCUCUUAAGAAAUAG